UGUCACGAUCCAGAUGAAUUUUAUAGAGUAAUUCACAUAUUUAUUCAGUCAAACUUGUAUAUAGAUAAUGAUUUGUGAAAUGUCGUAAUGAUCAGAGAAUUGCACUUGCAGUCUUUGCGCAGGACGCCUUUUUUCACAGUUUAUUUUAUACAUAGUUUUAACAUACGCUUUUAUGUAUAUAUGUACGUUUGGCCUGAGUUUG
rnacentral:lncRNA from 1 species